rnacentral:rRNA from 1 species
AUUGAACGCUGGCGGCAUGCUUUACACAUGCAAGUCGAACGGUAACAGGCCGCAAGGUGCUGACGAGUGGCGAACGGGUGAGUAAUGCAUCGGAACGUGCCCAGUCGUGGGGGAUAACUACUCGAAAGAGUAGCUAAUACCGCAUACGAUCUAUGGAUGAAAGCGGGGGACCGUAAGGCCUCGCGCGAUUGGAGCGGCCGAUGUCAGAUUAGGUAGUUGGUGGGGUAAAGGCUCACCAAGCCAACGAUCUGUAGCUGGUCUGAGAGGACAACCAGCCACACUGGGACUGAGACACGGCCCAGACUCCUACGGGAGGCAGCAGUGGGGGAUUUUGGACAAUGGGCGCAAGCCUGAUCCAGCAAUGCCGCGUGCAGGAAGAAGGCCUUCGGGUUGUAAACUGCUUUUGUACGGAACGAAACGGCUCUGGUUAAUACCCGGGGCUAAUGACGGUACCGUAAGAAUAAGCACCGGCUAACUACGUG